rnacentral:rRNA from 1 species
CCCUUAGAUGUUCUGGGCCGCACGCGCGCUACACUGAUUCAUGCAACAAGUUUUGUCCUUGGCUGAUAGGCCUGGGUAAUCUUUGAACGUGAAUCGUGAUGGGGAUAGAUGAUUGCAAUUAUUCAUCUUCAACGAGGAAUUCCUAGUAAACGCAAGUCAUCAGCUUGCAUUGAUUACGUCCCUGCCCUUUGUACACACCGCCCGUCGCACCUACCGAUUGAAUGGUCCGGUGAAGCCUCCGGAUUGGCGCGCACCUCGGUGCCGCCGAGAAGUUGGCUAAACCUUACCAUUUAGAGGAAGGUGAANUCGUANCA